CCUACGGUAGGCAGCAGUGAGGAAUAUUGGUCAAUGGACGGGAGUCUGAACCAGCCAAGUAGCGUGAGGGAUGAAUGCCCUAUGUAUUGUAAACUUCUUUUAUAAGGGAAUAAAACGAGGCACGUGUCCCUUUUUGCAUGUACUUUAUGAAUAAGGAUCGGCUAACUCCGUGCCAGCAGCCGCGGUAAUACGGAGGAUACGAGCGUUAUCCGGCUUUAUUGGGUUUAAAGGGAGCGUAGAUGGGUUGUUAAGUCAGUGGUGAAAGUCUGCGGCUCAACCGUAAAAGUGAAAUUGAUACUGGCAGUCUUGAGUAGAGUUGAGGUAGGCGGAAUGCGUGGUGUAGCGGUGAAAUGCUUAGAUAUCACGAAGAACCCCGAUUGCGAAGGCAGCUUACUAAACUGUGACUGACGUUGAUGCUCGAAAGUGUGGGUAUCAAACAGGAUUAGAUACCCGGGUAGUC
rnacentral:rRNA from 1 species